ensembl:lncRNA
CUGACAAAGAGAGACGCUAAAGAAAAGAACAAGACAGAAACUCAAGUUAAUGAAACGGAAGAAGGCAGCCAUGGAUGUGAGCCUUGUGCGACAGCCUCAGGCCGGGGUGAGUUGCCCAGCCCUUGCCAUGCAUGAGUCCAUCGCCGCCAAGCGAAGCACCUUGGAAGGGAGUGUGCAAGGGGGUCUGCGUGAGCAGGAGGCCUCUGCUGUAUGUGGGCCCUAGGUUUGUGUCCCGCAGGUUCUGAGCCCACAAGAGAUGCCCUCCUUACCAUACUAGACAGAGAACCACUUCAAACUCCCAGCCAAAGAGCUUUUGCGGACGCCUGCCGUGCCCUGUGUGAGAGGCACCUAAGGCGCAGUUCAUCUUGCCUUAGAACUUUACCUCCUCAAACCUUGAUCCACUCUGUCACUAGAACGAUCUGUUUUCAGAUUUCCCCUGGGUAUCACUUCCCACUGCUAAACACUUGCCCUCCCUGGCUCCUCUAGCUUUUCAUGGGUCUCUCUUCUGUCCACUACCCCUUUGACAAGUGUUGUUAUUGUAACAGAACCUUGUGUUUUCGAUUAACUCCGCUGAGGUUUUCUUGACCAAAAUAAAUUACACAUAUGUAAAAUGUGCCACGUGCCUAGGUGUCUGCAUGUUUAAACACACAUUUCCCACCAUGUCAACAUGGGUAUCAAUGAAUCUUCCCUUCACAGAUGUUUCCUCAGUUGUCUUAGUCCCCUACUAAGAAGCUACCAGUUCAUUCUGCAAAGUACUUGUAUUGUCCCCACUCGCGUCACCACUGCAUGAGAGUUACAAGGGCCAGUGCCUCUGUGUUUUUACAUAGUAGUAUCACCGGCCCUUUUCAUGUCUACCGUUCUAGUAAGUGGCUAUUAUGUCUUUCAAAAACCAAUAUUUUUCAUAAUUCUUUAGAACUUCAUAUGAUGUAUUUUGGUCGUGUGACCCACCCUUCCCAAGCUCCUCCCAUAACCAUCCUCCCUUCAUUUCCCUCCAGCUUUGAGUCCUCCCCCUACCUCACAGAGUCCAGAGCCUUGCUCUAUUAGUCUGAGGGGUGGGGCCUGCCCUGGCAUGCGGACAACAUUACCAGGAUCCCAUCGUUACAGAAAACCGACUCUUCUGUC